AAACGAUGAACACUAGUCGUCGGGGCACUAGUUGCUUCGGUGAUGCACUUAACAGAUUAAGUGUUCCGCCUGGGGAGUACGGUCGCAAGAUUAAAACUCAAAGGAAUAGACGGGGACCCGCACAAGUGGUGGAGCAUGUGGUUUAAUUCGAAGAUACGCGAAGAACCUUACCUGGCCUUGACAUUGAUAGAACACACUAGAGAUAGAGUGGUGCCCUUCGGGGAGCUUGAAAACAGGUGCUGCACGGCUGUCGUCAGCUCGUGUCGUGAGAUGUUGGGUUAAGUCCCGCAACGAGCGCAACCCUCGUCCUUAGUUGCCAGCAGUUCGGCUGGGCACUCUAAGGAGACUGCCUACGCAAGUAGGAGGAAGGUGAGGACGACGUCAAGUCAUCAGGACCCUUACGGCCAGGGCUACACACGUGCUACAAUGGGGCGUACAGAGAGUUGCGAUACCGCGAGGUGGAGCCAAUCUCAUAAAGCGUCUCUCAGUUCGGAUUGUAGUCUGCAACUCGACUACAUGAAGCUGGAAUCACUAGUAAUCGUAGAUCAGCAAUGCUACGGUGAAUACGUUCCCGGGUCUUGUACUCACCGCCCGUCACACCAUGGGAGUUGAUUUCACCCGAAAUCGGGAAGCUAACCUUCGGGAGGCUACCGCU
rnacentral:rRNA from 1 species